rnacentral:rRNA from 1 species
GUCCACGCCGUAAACGAUGUCGACUAGCCGUUGGGUCCCUUGAGGACUUAGUGGCGCAGUUAACGCGAUAAGUCGACCGCCUGGGGAGUACGGCCGCAAGGUUAAAACUCAAAUGAAUUGACGGGGGCCCGCACAAGCGGUGGAGCAUGUGGUUUAAUUCGAUGCAACGCGAAGAACCUUACCUACCCUUGACAUCCUGCGAACCCGGAAGAGAUUCCGGGGUGCCUUCGGGAGCGCAGAGACAGGUGCUGCAUGGCUGUCGUCAGCUCGUGUUGUGAAAUGUUGGGUUAAGUCCCGUAACGAGCGCAACCCUUGUCCCUAUUUGCCAGCGAUUCGGUCGGGAACUCUAGGGAGACUGCCGGUGACAAACCGGAGGAAGGUGGGGACGACGUCAAGUCAUCAUGGCCCUUACGGGUAGGGCUACACACGUGCUACAAUGGCCGGUACAAAGGGUUGUGAAGCCGCGAGGCGAAGCCAAUCCCAGAAAGCUGGCCUCAGUCUCGAUCGGAGUGGCAACUUGACUCCAUGAAGUCGUAAUCGAGUGUAAUGCAGCAACCGAAAGACCCGAAUCC